GAUUUAUAAUAACUUAGCAAAUCGCAAAGUGAAAACAGGCGAUAAAUCAUUCAAGUUUCUGACCUAUCAGCUUUCGACGGUAUGGUAUUGGCUUACCGUGGCAGUGACGGUUAACGGGGGAUUAGGGUUCGAUUCCGGAGAGGGAGCCUGAGAAACGGCUACCACAUCUAAGGAAGGCAGCAGGCGCGCAAAUUACCCAAUUCUAACAGUUUGAGAGAGGUAGUAACAAGAAAUAACAAUACAAGGCAGUUAAAAUGCUUUGUAAUUGGAAUGAUAGAAAUUUAAACCCUUUUUAAAGUAUCAAUUGGAGGGCAAGUCUGGUGCCAGCAGCCGCGGUAAUUCCAGCUCCAAUAGCGUAUAUUAAAAUUGUUGCAGUUAAAAAGCUCGUAGUUGAAGUUCUGCUGAAAGUAACCGGUCUGCUUUUAAUAAAAGUGGUAUCUUGGUAUGUAUUUAGCAAUGAUGUCCUUUGAAGUGUUUUUUACUUUAUUGUAAUAAAGCAUAUUCAGGACUUUUACUUUGAGAAAAUUAGAGUGUUUCUAGCAGGCUAACGCUUUGAAUACUGCAGCAUGGA
rnacentral:rRNA from 1 species